UCAGUUUAUUUAUUUAUUUUAAAGUUAACCUUCAUCACAGCUUCAGUAAUGCACUUCAGUAGUCUGGUAGAGAGAAAAACCCCUUCCAUGAAACAUGACAGAGCACAUCUGGACUGAAGAAGAUACAAUUUAUGAAUAAGAUCUGUGUGCUUAUUGUUUUUCUCAAAAGCACAGUCCACCUGCAAGGUCACACCAGUUUGUUUUUGAUUCUCAUACACAAAAAUAUCCUUGUAAAAUCAUAUGCAUAAAGUCACUCUGUAAAUGCACUAAACCUCUAUUUAUUUCUAAGUAUUUAACUUCAAGAGUUAUACUUGAUUACAUGAUAACCAUUCUUAAAUCAUACUUUGAUUAUACUUUGAUUAAGAAAAUUCUUCCAUAAUUUCUCAUCAACUAAACACUCAUUUUUACUCGCCAUCACAAACAAACUACGAUUGUAAAACUGAGGGCUCAUUUCCAGCUGGCCUCUUAUUCGACUUUUCCAGUACAACUUAAGAUGCUACGUGAUAUUUACUGAUUAGCAGAAGCAAGUCUUGUGUGUGUUCUUAUAUUUUAUACCUAUUUAAAGAGAAAUUAGAUGCAAUCAUUAACUGCUGAGGAAUUUUCAGACACAAAUUGAAACAGGAAUUUUCUGAUCUCUGAACAUGGUAAUUAAGAUGAUGCAAGAAUGAUUUAUCUUUCUAAAACUGUAUAUUCAUAUGGUCUGAAGACAAAUAUAACAAUGCACCAAAAACAUUCAUUUUAAGAUUAGAUUAGCAUUUUGUUAUUGUACCUCUCUAAAAUGGCAAAAGACAAUACAGAAGUAGAGCUGGUUGCUCUUACUGCUUAUUUUAUAUAGAGCUGUCUCUUGAUUACUAAAGAAUCUGUUCAAUAUAUUAUAAAAAUAGCAAUGAUUUAUCAUCACAAAACUUGAGAAGUAUAUUCAUCUAUAGUGUCUUUAUUGUUCUAUGUAUCUUGGCAAGAACUGGCCACUGGGGCUCGCUAUUUGCGAGGAGUGCUUGGACCCCGCAGAUUGCCACUUGUGGCUAUAUUUUAAUUUUUUUAUUGCAGUGAUGUAACACUGGGCCUGUCCUUCUAAUUAAUUAGCAUUAUAAAUGUUGUAUUAGGAAGAAAAAGUAUUACGUCUCUUUCUCCUAAAAGGAUUGUUCAGUAUUGAAGCUUAUUUAUUUGUAUUGUUUUUUUUUGUUUUGUUUGUGUGUCUGCACGUGCAUGCAUGUUUAUGUGGCUUGUGGAACAUUACAGCAGAAGAGAUCAGGCCUGGUUGUACACAGCUGUCUAUCCACAAACAAUAUCUUUUCUUUACUAAUAGUGAAAGAUGGAUCACUGUAAUCCUGACCAACCUGAUGGGUCUCCAGAAUUAAAAAAGAGCAUGCUACAGAGAGAAAGAAGCAAAACAGAACAGAAGAUCAUAAUCACAGAUUAAGAAGUGAGAAGGGUCAGAAGUGAGACCUGGACAGUGGUACUUUUAUUAUGCUGGUACAAGUCUAUAGCUACUGAACCUCAUUUUCUGGAGAGAUGCAAACUAAAUAUGCUAAGGAAGUUUCAGCAUGUAAAUGACAAACCAGGGAAGCCCAACACUUCUCAGUGAGAUCUACACUGAGCUCUACAUCACAGAAGGAGACAAUGGAAAAGUCAAUAAUGAACAUGAGGUUUAAGAACUGUGGCCUGGGAGAAAGUGGUUGUGCAACCUUGGCUACAGCACUCAGCUCAGAAUUCUCCACUCUGAGAGAACUGGAUCUGUCUGAGAAUAGCCUCAGAGACUCAGGAGCAAAGCUACUUUCUGCUGGACUGGAGAAUCUUCACUGGAAACUGGAGAAACUGAGUGCCUGUGGCUUGCUCUGUUCCCGGUUCCUGCUCUCUGGUGGAUUGCUACCUCCCUGUUUCUGGAUUAUUGGAUUGUUUUCCACCCGUGUCUCCCGGUUGGACAUUUAUGGACUUUCACCCAUUGCAGCCUAGCGCUACUGAGGAGGCCUGCCAUCACUGCACCCACGACUCUCUGCCUUCAGUGACUCUGUUGUCUUGUUUACACUCAAAUAAUAUCAUCUGAAUUCGCAUUUGAAUCCAUCUUGUCCUUCCUGACAGUUAUACAAUUGAGAUAAAUGUAAGUCACCUUGAUAAGGGCAUCUGCCAAAUGCUAUAAAUGUACAGUUCCAUGGGUGUCAUUAAAUGCAGGUGGGCUGUGUUGGGAAAUAAAGUUUGUUUUUAGGUGAUCAACAUAGACACAUGACAAAAACGUUUUAAAAACACUGCACUUGUACCCAACUGCCUUAGAAAUCCCAAAUAUGCUUGUAUCAUUUGUACACUGUUGCAGCUUUCCAUUAAACUGCUGGUAUUGGUAAUAGGAGUGAGCAAGUAGUCGACGCGUAAAACUUAGAGUCUAUGCAAACAGAUGUAAGAUGCAAAUAGUCUCUUUCUUCAUUGUGCUUCAUUGAAUAAACAUUGCUUCAAUUAGCUUCCUAUGGUGUCAUUUUGUUUGGUUCUCAAAAAGUUCACACAAAACUCCAUACCUUGUAGAUACAGCAUACUGUUCAACACAGUCCAACACAUAAUCCAAAAAGCCUGUUUAACAUAAUGAAACAUGACCUAAAACGGUCAAAAA